rnacentral:tRNA from 1 species
AAAGCUUUAGGUUAAAAAUAAAACUAUACGUCUUCAAAAUGUAUGAUUUCAAGCUUUU